UUGCUAAUGGUCUUAUAGACUCUGCAUGGGAUUUUAUUGCGAGAAAAUCUGUGCUGCCUCUUCAACCUCCAUCAGAUCCAAUCGCACAGGAUAACAUAAAACGAUUUGGUGGGGAGAAUGAAGUUCAAGGCCUGUCAGAAGUUAAUGGGAGGUUUGUUCCCAGCAAAAAGGUGGUUGAAUUGAGGAAAAAAUUAAUCAAGUUUAUGGAAGAUCACAUUUACCCGAUGGAAAAUGAGUUCUACAAGCUUGCCCAGUCUUCAUCACGUUGGACAGUGCACCCAGGGGAGGAGAGGCUGAAGGAACUGGCAAAGAAAGAAGGGCUAUGGAACUUAUGGAUACCUUUUGAUAGUGCUGAAAGAGCAAGAAAACUGAUCUUUGAUGGAAUAAGUUAUGCUGUCUCCAAUGAUGCCCAUGAUCAAUUACUUGGUGCAGGCCUCUCAAACCUUGAAUAUGGAUACCUUUGUGAGAUCAUGGGUCGUUCGGUUUGGGCUCCACAGGUGUUCAAUUGUGGUGC
rnacentral:misc_RNA from 1 species